rnacentral:rRNA from 1 species
UACAGAGGUCCCAAGCGUUGUUCGGAAUCACUGGGCGUAAAGCGCACGUAGGUGGCUUUUCAAGUCUGUUGUGAAAGCCCAGGGCCUAACCCUGGAAGUGCAGCAGAUACUGUUAAGCUUGAGUAUGGGAGAGGAUAGUGGAAUUCCUGGUGUAGUGGUGAAAUACGUAGAUAUCAGGAGGAACACCGGUGGCGAAGGCGGCUAUCUGGCCCAAUACUGACGCUGAGGUGCGAAAGCGUGGGGAUCAAACAGG